CCUUUUUUUUUUUCUUUUCUUUUUUGAGAUGUAGCCUUGCUCUGUCACCCAGGCUGGCGUGCAGUGGUGUGAUCUCAGCUCACUGCAACCUCUGCCUCCUGGGUUCAAGCAAUUCUCCUGCCUCAGCCUCCCUAGUAGCUGAGAUUACAGGCGCCCGCCACCAUGCCCAGCUAAUUUUAUUUUUAGUAGAGAUGUGGUUUUACCAUGUUGGCCAGGCUGAUCUUGAACUCCUGACCUCAGGUGAUCUGCCCACCUCGGCCUCCCAAAGUGCUGGGAUUAUAGGUGUGAGCCACCAUGCCCAGCAAAAAAUUCAGUUUCUUGGUGGCACUAGCUGUAUUUGAGGUGCUCAGUAGUAUCUUACUGGAUGAGUGCAGGCAUGCAACAUUUCCAUUGCACCAGAAAGUUCUGUCGGAAGUGCUGUUUAUGUUAAUUGCUGGGUAUUGCUGGAAGGAGUUGCUGUGGUCAUUAUCGCUGGUCCCCUGUCCCAUAUUGAACCGUUCCGGCUCUCAUUGGUUCUUCUUGCUGCUCCUCUCUCUGUUGGGCCCUUCCUGCUUUCUUCUCGGCAGCCUCUCACUCUCCCUUUGCCUGACCCCACCCAUAAUGUUAAAAACUCCGUGACUUGCCUUCAUCCACCUCCUCUGCCCCUGUCAUUUUCCCACGUGCUCCCUGCAGCCUGUCUGCGUAUCUGCCCUUUCAGCUGCUGGCAUCUGGAAUCUCCAUGUCCAGGCUCUGAAAUUCCCACUACCCAUUCCCAGUGGGAGAGGGGGAGGAGGCCUCCCCUGGCAGUCCCUAGUCCCCAGCUCCCAGCAGAGGUGCCGGCUGCCUGGGCCCCUCAGGGGGGCGGAGAUGAUGGUUUGUUGUGACGGGGGCAGUGGGCAGCCUGCCUGCUCUAACGCGCCCGUAUCAGGGCGCCAAGCGUGCUGUUUGCACUUGGCUGGGCCCCGGGAUCUGGCCGGGUGCCCGUGAGGGCUGGCCCGCUUUGGCACCCUUGGUGACAAAAGCCAAUCAUGGACCCUCCACCUGGUCAGGAACACAAGGAGCCGGUCCUGGGCUGGGCCCUGGGGUGAGGGGCAUGUCUGACACCCAGAACCAGAGUGCAGGACAGAGGCUGUGGCUGUGGCUGGGCUCUGGGUGCUGAGUGGGACAAGGCCCAGGCAGGCAUAGGCAGGAUGUGAGCUCUUGGGGGUCAGGCAGGUCGUUGCUCUGGGUGGUUCAGGGGACAGGGUCUGCACCUGACAUUCACACUUGCCUGGGGAGGAACUUUGGCCUGAGAUGCCAGAGAAGCUCAAGGUCACCUCCCAGCACCAUACUUUCUCCUCCCCUUCCUUUUGGGCACAUCAUCUGCGAAGUGGAUGAAAUAGACAAGUCUAGCCCAUGAGUGACAAGGACAUUGAGGCCCUACAAGGAGAUGCAGCUGGUCUGAGAUCACAUGACCAGUCCCUGGAAGAAUCAGAGC
rnacentral:lncRNA from 1 species